rnacentral:rRNA from 1 species
CUAGGGGAGGCUGCAGUGAGGAAUAUUGCACAAUGGGGGGAACCCUGAUGCAGCAACGCCGCGUGGAGGAUGACGCAUUUCGGUGUGUAAACUCCUUUUAUAUGUCAAGAAAAUGACGGUAGCAUAUGAAUAAGCACCGGCUAACUCCGUGCCAGCAGCCGCGGUAAUACGGAGGGUGCAAGCGUUACUCGGAAUCACUGGGCGUAAAGGACGCGUAGGCGGGUUGGAAAGUCAGGUGGGAAAUCCUACAGCUUAACUGUAGAACUGCACUUGAAACUUCUAAUCUAGAGUAUGGGAGGGGGAGAUGGAAUUAGUGGUGUAGGGGUAAAAUCCGUAGAUAUCACUAGGAAUACCUAAAGCGAAGGCGAUCUCCUGGAACAUUACUGACGCUAAGGCGUGAAAGCGUGGGGAGCAAACAGGAUUAGAUACCCCAGUAGUC